UCUUAAUAAUUUUUAUUAUAAAAGUUAUAUAAAAAUUUUAAAUUUUUAUAAUAAAAAUUAUUUUAUUGGGGUGAUAUUAAAAUUUAAUAAACUUUUAAUUAUUUUGUAACAUUAAUUUAUGAAAAUUUUGAUCCAUUAUUAAUGAUUAAAAAUUUAAGU
rnacentral:rRNA from 1 species